CUGAUUCUGAGCUAGCUGUAGGCCCAGCCUUCAAGAAAACAGGAGCAGAGAGAUCUCCUAAAAUGUCUUUAAAACUGGGGAGUCUUCAGCCUAGACAACAUAGCAAGACCCUAUAUUAGUCCGUUUUCACGCUGCUGAUAAAGACAUACCCGUGACUGGGAAGAAAAAGAGGUUUAAUUGGACUUAACAGUUCCACAUGGCUGGAGAGGCCUCAGAAUCAUGGCAAGAGGCGAAAGGCUCUUCUUACAUGGCAGAGGCAAAAGAAAAUGAGGAAGAAGCAAAAGCAGAAACCCCUGAUAAACCCAUCGGAUAUCGUGAGACUUAUUCACUAUCACGAGAAUAGCACGGGAAAGACCAAUCCCCAUGAUUCAAUUACCUCCCCCUGGGUCCCUCCCACAACAUGUGGGAAUUCUGGGAGAUACAACUCAAGUUGAGAUUUCAGUGGGGACACAGCCAAACCAUAUCAUUCUGCCCCUGGCCCCUCCAAAUCUCAUGUCCUCACAUUUCAAAACCAAUCAUGCUUUAUCAACAGUCCCCCAAAUCUUAACUCAUUUCAGCAUUAACCAAUAUCAGACCUCAUCUCUACCAAAGGUAGAAAAAAAUUAGCUGGGAAUGGUGGUGCGCACCUGUAGUCCCAGCUACUUGGGAGGUUGAGGUGGGAGGAUCACUUGGCCCUGGGAAGCGAGGCCUCAGUGAGUUGUAACUGCACCACUGUUCUCCAGCCUGAGUGAUAGAGAGAGACUCUGUCUCAAAAAAAAAAAAAAAUUAAAUGGAGAACAUCUUACACAUUUGGUAUGGAUUGGCACUAUGACUUAGAGGUAGUAGAAUUAGUCAGAAAACUUCUGGACUCUUGCAAAUAGUUAGAAUGAAAGAUUAAGCUUAUCUGAUAAAGAUGUCUCAAAAUUCAAUGGUUCAAGACAGAAGUUUAUUUUUUAGCAAGCGGCUCUGCUUCAUGCAGUCAUGCAGGGGCCCAGGUUCCUUCUAUCUUGCUUUUCCACCAUUCCCUAGCCUGUAGCCUUUUUUUUUUUUUUUUCUGGGACAGGUUUUUCACUCUGUUGCCCAGGCUGGAGUACAGUGCAUGAUCAUAGCUCAUUGCAGCCUUGAACUCCGGGGUUCAAGUGAUCCUCCUGCCUCAGCCUCCCAAGUAGCUGAGACUACAAGGGCACACCACCUUGCCCAGCUAAUUUUUGUUCUUAUUAGGUUACCCAGACUGGUCUCAAACUCCUGGCCACCGGUGAUCCUCCUGCCCCAGCCUCCCAAAGCUCUGGGAUUACAGGUAUGAGCCCACUGUGCCCAGCGGCACCCCCUCCACCUUUUUCUUUAAAAAAAUAAAUAGUGGCAAGCUCUUGCUAUGCUGCCAAGACUAAUCUCAAACUCUUGGGCUUAAUUGAUCUUCCCACCUUGGACUCCCAAAAUGCUGGGAUUACAGGACAACACCCAGUCAGGUAUAGCCUUUGUCUGCAUGAUCCAAGCUAGAUUGUGGGUACACUCAUGUUCUAGGUCUCAAGAAGAAUAAAAAAUAUGGAUGAGGCACCUUUCUUUUUUCUUUUUUUUCUUUUUCUUUUCUUUUUUUUUUUCAGACAGAACCUCACUCUGUCACCCAGGCUGGAGUGCAGUGCCACGAUCUCGGCUCACUGCAACCUCCGCUUCCCGGGUUCACGCCAUUCUCCUGCCUCAGCCUCCUGAGUAGCUGGGACUACAGGUACCCGCCACCACACCUGGCUAAUUUUUUGUAUUUUUAAUAGAGAUGGGGUUUCACCGUGUUAGCCAGCAUGGUCUUGAUCUCCUGAUCUCAUGAUCCGCCAGCCUCGGCCUCAAAGUUCUGGGAUUACAGGCGUGAGCCAACGUGCCCAGCCGAGGCACCUUUCUUAAGGUCCCAGCCCAUAGGUGGUCCACAUCACUUCUGCCUACAUUCCAUGAUCAGGAGCUUAGUCACAUGAUCAGCCCUAACUGUAAGGUGGCUGGGAAAUAUAUAUAUAUGUAUGUGUCUACAUAUAUGUGUGUAUAUAUAUGUGUGUGUGUGUGUGUGUGUGUGUGUGUGUAUGCAGCCAUAGGCCGAGUAGUUCAAUUAUUGUAGAAGAAGGAAAGAAUAGGUUUUUGGAUAGUGUCAUUACAUCAACCUAGAUGUGACCCAGAUACCACCAAGUAGAGGCUCUUCAGUUAUUAUGAGCAAUUAGGUCAGAGUUUUUGUUAAAGUGGAAACAGGGAAAGUAUGAUCCAUAGAGGACAUAAGGACAUAGGAUCCCUUCGAGUAAUGGAACAUGUCCCAGGGGCUUGAAAAGAGACUGUUUUGUUUGUCCUUCCAGACAGGGGAGUUCAGGGGCAUUCAGCAGCAGACAAGGGUGAUGGAUACCCAGAACAUUGCUUAUGAAAUGAUUUAUAUUUUUAAUAAUACUUUAUAGUUUACAAGGAUCAUUUGUACAUAUUGUUUGAUUGGAUGUUGAAAACAUUCCUCAUUAGGGACAGCUAGACGUAGAGAGAUGAAAGGUCUUGCACAAAAUCACACAAUUCAUAAAUAGCAAAGGUGAGAUCUGAACCCAAGUCUUCCUAGUUUCAGUCCAGUGCUUUUUACCAAAUAAAAAUGCUACAUAUUGAUUUUUUUUUUUUAUCCUGGGAGGGUGACUAGUUGGACAUCUCAAAUGGAGUAAGGACUUUACUUUUUCACUGGACUUUACUUUUUCAGUUUCCAUGUAAUUUGGAUGUCAUUGUGAAGACGUCAAGAGUCAUGUCCACAAAGAUAAUACUGGUUAUUACUUGGUGACCACCUACUGUAAGCCAGGCCCUGAGCUGGACACUUUAUUUAUAUCUUAUUUAUUCCUCCUAAUGAUCCAGCAAGGUAGGCAUUAUUACACCUAUCUUGCAGAGGAGGAAGCUGAAGAGGUUAGGUAACUUUUCCCAAACAGAGAGCUAGUAAGUGGGUAAGCCAGGUCAUGAAUCCAAGUUAAUCUGCUAUCUUCCCUCUCAGUGCUGCCUUGAAGGACGAGGGGUAUCUGCUGCUCAGGCCUCAGGAAUGGACACAUAGGCUUCAGGCCCAUGAGGACCUCCUGGACUAAGAGCCAGUCUCACUGCCACCUGUCAGAGCCUUCUUCAAGGGAGUAAACAGAGGGGCAGGACUCACCUCACUUCGUGCUGCCAGGGCUAGAGCUAUCCUUUCUCCCCACUCCAUUCCCACCUUGCUGGGUGAGCCUGCAGUUUUUCCAAGGCAGGGCCAGCCUGUCCUGUGCUGCAAGAUGUAUUAAUCAAUUUGAUGGGGAUGUUAAAGCUUUCUCUUUGCAACUAAUUAUGGCCUGAUUUAUAGGCCUGGCCUUGGUUUGAUAGAGCUCUCCUCAUGACAGGGAUGAAUGUGGUACUGGCAUGGACCCCUUCAUCUCUUCCAUUUCUCUCUCUUCCUCCCUCCUCCCUCCCUCCCACGGCUCCUGCCUCCUGCCUCUGCUCUUGGUUCCCACAGGAACACCCUAAUGACAUGUUGACAAGCUAGUGAAGCAUGGCUCCCUCUCUGUUGCAUCUGCCUCUGGCACCACCAUUCCUCCUGUAUUCUCUGACAUGGGCAGAUGGGUGCUGUGCUGGAGGAAGCUCUGUACACCCUUUCCUUCUGGAAACAAGAAACAAUAAAAAUAUUUUGGGUUGAUGCAGCAUCUUCCUUCCCAAACAUUCCAAGAGCUUGUUGAAAUAAACUUUAUCCCUGAUGGAACUUCCAGCCACAUCCUGCUCCUCCCUCACAUGGAAACAGGCAGCACCUAGGCCAUCAUCUGCUCAGACUUUCCUUCAGAGGAAAAGAGAAACCACAAACAGCUGCCGUGUGGGCCCUCCUGCCAGAUUCCGGAUUCCAGCUCAGACCACGGAUCUCGAUGACUUCAUUGGUAUCUGAGCUGGAACUCUCUUCUCCAGGGACAGAGAGGCCGCCAGCAUCCCUGCAGAGCCCCCAGAAAAAGAGGAAGCUGCAUGGUGGGUUCACACCUGGGCCAGUACAAAAAGGUCAUGCUUGGAGAGAUACACCAAGAUCUCCACCUGAGGGCUGAGUCCUGGCCCAGGGCUUGCUUCACUAGUUGGCAGCCUGGGGUGAGUCCCUCUCCCCACCUCCACCCUGCCCCUUCAAAAAGCCUGUUGCUCAUUGAAUCAAAAGACAUUCCUAAGUGAGAGUCUCAUUCCCUUUCAUCUGGAUCCAAAUGGAAAUGCAAAUACCAUGGGACAGAAUGUGCCUCUGUGGGAAUGAAUUUAUCAGACCCUGUCCACAGCAGUUUUGCUGAAAGAGAAAUUUAGUUUUUCUGAGAGAGCCUGGUGAGGCAAUGGAGUUAAGGGGCCAAAUGGUUCAAAACUUCUACAAGGUUAGUGCUGGAGGGGAAGCUUCAGCAAUCAUGAGCCAGACUCCUCCUGUUGCAGAUGAGGAAACCAAAGCCCAGAGAGGAGUGUCUUUCACAGCAUCAUACAGCAAGUUAAUAUGGCUUAGGAUGCUAGAACUUAGGUGUCCCGACUCUAAGCCUGGUGCCAGUUGCAGAAAACAAAAGCCCAAGGCCUGAAAGAUAAACUUGGCCUCCUUCAAAAUCUGAUGGGGGCUGGCACUUUCUGCCUUCAGAAUAUUUGUUUCCACCAGGAGUGAAUCUCAGUUCUUGGCUGUGAGCAGUUGCAGAGGUCACAUGAGUGGACAAAAAAGGAAUGUGAGUGAGAAGGGAGAUGGGGUGAAGAUCUUCCUGAACAAUGACUUAGCGAGGACAAGUCUGAAUCUCCAACUUCAUCAGACUCUGUGAACGGUGUUAAAUCUUGACUUAGGGGCUAUGGGCUUUUGCCUCUCUUUGUAGCCACAGUUGCCCAAAGAGAACUAGUAAUGCUGUUAUCUUCAGAUGCAAAGGAUAACACAUUAGUAAAUUAUUCCUUGCUUAUACUUCUAAUGUCACAUUCCCCUUGUCUUAUAGUUGUUUUGUGAUGAAAGAAACUAAUGGGAUCUUAGAAUCAGACCUGGGUUACAUGGCUUAAACUUUUUAAAAAAAAUUUAAUUGUGGUAAAAUAUGCAUAACAUAAAAUUCACCAUCUUAAUGAUUGUUAAGUGUAUAGUUUAGCAGUGUUAAGUAUAUUGACGUUAUAUUGCAACCUUUUUUCAUCUUGAACAACUGAAGCUGUACCCAUUAAACAACGGUUCCUCAUUCUCCAUUCCCUUUCAGUCCCUGACAACCACCACUCUACUUUCCAUCACCAUGAAUUUGAUGACUCAUGAGUGGAACCACACAGUAUUUGUCCUUUUGUGAAUCACUUAUUUCACUUAGCAUAAUGUCCUCACAAGGUUCAUUCAUGUUGUAGCACAUGUCAAAAUUUCUUUCCUUUUUUUUUUUUUUUUUUUUUUGAGAUGGAGUCUCAUGCUCUUUCCCCCAGGCUGGAGUGCAGUGGCAUGAUCUGGGCUCAUUGCAACCUCCGCCUCCUGGGUUCAUGCCAUUCUCCUGCCACAACCUCCCGAGUAGCUGGGACUACAGGUGUGCGCCACCACGCCCAGCUAAUUUUUUGUAUUUUUAGUAGAGACGGCGUUUCACCAUGUUAGCCAGGAUGGUCUCGAUCUCCUGACCUCAUGAUCUGCCUGCCUCGGCCUCCCAAAGUGCUGGGAUUACAGGCGUGAGCCACCAUGCCCGGCCUUCAAUUUCUUUCCUUUUUAAGGCUGAAUAAUAUUCCAUUUUAUGGAUAUGCCACAUUUUGUUUAUCUAUUUAUCCACUGAUGGACACUUGGGUUGCUUCCACUUUUUGGCCAUUGUGAAUAAUGCUGCUAUGAACAUGGGUGUACAGAUAUCUUUUUGAGACCCUGACUUCCUCAAUUCUUUUGGAUAUAUAUCCAGAAGUAGAACUGGUGAAUCCUAUGGUAGUUCUAUUAUCAAGUUUUGGAAGAAUAACCAUACUGUUGGCUUAAACUUAUUGGGCUUUUAUUUUCCUCAUCUAUAAAGUAGACUUGAGGUUGUUGUGAGUAUUAAAGAAAUCAUGUGCAUAAAGCUCUUGGCUCAAUGCCUGGUACAUGGUUGAAAUUUAAGAACUGGUUGUUUCCUAUGAACUCUUGAAGACAGAGACUGUUUCAUUUCGGUAUCUAACCAUUUAGCAUGGCGCCAGACAUAUAGUAGGGGUUCACUAUAUGACUGUUAGUGAAUGAAUGAAUAAUGAACAAACAUAUCCUUGUAACUUUGAAGUAUGGCCGGGAGCAGUGGCUCAUGCCUGUAAUCCCAGUACUUUGGGAGGCUAAGGCAGGCGGAUCACCUUAGGUCAAGAGUUCGAGGCCUGGCCAACAUGGCGAAACCCUGUCUCUACCAAAAAUACAAAAAUUAGCUGGGCAUGGUGGCAGGCACCUGUAAUCCCAGCUACUUGGGAAGCUGAGGGAGGAGAAUCACUUGAACCUGGGAGGCAGAGGUUGCAAUGAGCCGAGAUCGUGCCAUUGCACUCCAGCCUGGGAGACAAGAGCGAGACUCCAUCUCAAAAAAAAAAAACAAAAAAAACCUUUGAAGUACAUAGAAUAAUUCCUGCACAUUGUGGGUGUUUAAUAAAUUUCAAAUGAAUGCAUGUAAUAAUCCUAUAUGAAGCCUACUUCUUCUGCAUCCUACUUCAUGAGAAAAGGAAUUUGCUCAUGUCCCUAAAGUUCCUGAAGGACAAUUCAGAAUCAAGUAUUUGACCUACUCCCAACUUUCUGGGGAUCCUCCUCUUUCACCAUUCAUGGCAAAUUCUACUGUGCAAGGGAUACAAAGGAGGAAGAUCUCCAUGUGAGAGUAACCGAGCACUUCAGUCUGCACUGUGCUUGCUAAGUUUUCUCUCUUUCUACCAUGUUCACAGAACACUUGCUGUGAGCUCCAAAGCAUGUUGAAGAGCGGGGCUGUCCAUGUUGAAUCCUGUUAGUCAUGCAGCUGAGGGAAUUCCAAUCACCUGACCCGGGUCUGACCGCAGUUACCAGUCUCAAGUCUGAGCAGCGUCUCCAGUGCUGGGCUGCCUUCUUGACUCCAGGAGGCAUGCCUGCUCUUACAAUGAAACUCAAGUCUUUUUUUUUCCUUCCCACAAGUUUGGCUUCUACUUUUCUAAGUGCUGUUCAUCAUAUACUCUGUGUUGUAAGUACUCAGCUCUCUAGCAUCUCUUUAUACUACCUUUUAUUCUUCUGGAAUAUCCUUCCUUCCCACCCACAAGCAUAUUAGGCAAAACUUGCCCACCGUGGUAACUGGAAACAGGACUGAGGGGAAGGAAAACUCUCUCCCAGGUGCAUGGAGUGGGAACUCAUUUAGGGCAUCUUUAGUGCCAUACAUAGAACCUGGAAUACAAUAGGAGCUCAAUUAAUACAUGUUAAAUGGAUAAAUAUUGGUUAAAUGCAUCAUGUUUCUAUACAAUUCUCUUUAAACUAUAAACUCCCCAAGCACAAAGUUAAGAACUAUGUCUCUCUUAUCAGACAAGAUGCCUCCUAACCCAGAUUAUACAGGAGCAUUGUGAGGGCAAGCCCAUGCCAACUCCACAUUCUGUGAGCUCCCAAAACUCCACCAAGGACCUUGCUUAAUGAUGACUUAGACCAGGGUUUCUCGACCUCAGCAUUAUUG
rnacentral:lncRNA from 10 species